rnacentral:rRNA from 1 species
GGGUCAGUAGGUUGGUCGUGCCACCGGUACGUACUGGUCUCACUGAUUCCUCCUUCCUGAAGAACCGUAAUGCCGUUAAUUUGGUGUUGCGGGGAAACAGGACUGUUACUUUGAAAUAAUUAGAGUGUUUAAAGCAAGCUAACGCUUGAAUACAUUAGCAUGGAAUAAUGAAAUAGGACGAUCGAUCCUAUUUUGUUGGUUUCUAGGAUUGACGUA